UCAAUGAUAGACUGGAUUAAGAAAAUGUGGCACUGAUAAUCAUGGCGCCCCUCAGAACCACUGUGUUGCUGUGGAGCCUCCUGAGGGGUUCUGCAGGUGUGGAAAGGGUCUGUUUCUGGGCUUGAAUCCAGCCCUGGCAUGGUGGCCUGCUCCAACCGCUACCUUGCUCUUUCGAGGUGGGGCUGCCACGCUGCCGGUCAGCUCUGAGGCCACAGAAUCUGGUAGCCCAGAGACCAAGAAACCUACAUUUAUGGAUGAAGAAGUUCAAAGCAUACUCAUGAAAAUGACAGGAUUGAACUUGCGGAAGACUUUUAAAACAGCUGUACAAGAACUGAAGCCACCAACCUAUAAGCUAAUAACUCAGGCACAAUUGGAAGAGGCUACAAAACAGGCAGUUGAGGCAGCUAAAGUACGAUUAAAAAUGCCACCGGUUCUAGAAGAGCGAGUACCAAUAAAUGAUGUGUUAGCUGGAAAUACGAUUUUGGAAGGAACAGAAACAACCAAAUAUAUGUUUACUGAUAUAUCAUAUAGCAUACCACACCGGGAGCGUUUUAUUGUCAUUAGAGAACCAAGUGGCACACUACGCAAAGCCUCUUGGGAAAAACGGGACUGGAUGAUGCAAGUUUAUUUCCCAAAAGAAGGUCGUAAAGUUUUGACACCAAUGAUUUUCAAGGAAGAAAAUCUUAGGACUAUGUAUAGCAAGGACAGGCAUGCCGAUGUCCUCAAUCUCUGCUUUGCCCAGUUUGAGCCAGAUUCCGCUGAGUAUAUCAAGGUUCAUCACAAGACCUAUGGAAGAUAUAGAUAAACACGGAAAAUAUGACCUUUUACGUUCAACAAGAUACUUUGGUGGAAUGGUGUGGUAUUUUGUAAAUAAUAAAAAGAUUGAUGGUUUGCUGAUUGACCAGAUUCAGAGAGAUUUAAUCGAUGACGCAACCAGCUUGGUCCAGCUGUAUCACAUACUCCAUCCAGACGGCCAGUCGGCUCGAGAGGACAAGGAUCAGGCUGCUGAGGGAAUAAAUUUAAUCAAGGUCUUUGCAAAAACAGAAGCACAGAAGGGAGCCUAUGUAGAACUAACACUGCAAACUUAUCAAGAAGCACUCAGUCACCAUUCUGCAGCUUCCUAAAAAUAUUUUCAAAAUACAUUUAUUUUACUAAAUACUGACUACAUUUCUCUGUUAAUAUUGAGCUAAAUGUUAAAAAAUGACCAGAUUAAAAGGUAUCAAUUUGUAGUUCUCCCUACAAAGCAAAAAUUGUUACCCUAUUCACUUUUCUAGGCUACAAGGAUAUUUGAGUGCCUGGUUAUGAAUUUCUUGAAUCAUGUUAGAUGAGCGUAGAGUUAAAAAGUAUGGUUUUUUUGUGUGUGUUACCAAAUAAGGUAAACGGUAAUUUAGACAGACCCCAGCUUAAUGAGGUCAGAGGAACAGAGGUUUCACAUCCUGACUCCAGAAAUGGGUAGCUGCUAGAUAAAAUUGGAGCAAGACCUGUGGAAUGAUGCAAUGAGGUCAAGAAAAAGAGUUUAGAGAAUUACAGCAUGGAUGUUCAGCUCUAAGAAAAAUGUGAUUGAUAGCAUUUGAAAAUGCAGAUUUAGUUAUGCAAAGAAAAGAGAGUGGGGCUGAUCCCUAGGCAAGGUGUAGUUUCGGCUCAGCCUUAUAAAACUAGAAGCCUAUUUUCAUUGUUGAGAAAGGAAACAGAAGUAUCUUCCAUUAAUUCAGAAGGUUUUAGGAGAUACGGUCUAAUAGUAUGAAAAAAAUCAAAGCCCAUGUCUGUUUUAGUUAACAAGGAAAACACAGUGAUUUAAAUGCUGCACAUAAACUCUUCUUAAGAUGAUAUGGGCAUUAUGUUCCCAGUGGUCCACAGUAUUUACAUAUAAAAAUCUAAGAAAUUUCUCAUAGUCCAAAGCGCUGUGGUCAGGGUAGCAAUCAAUACCUAUAUAUAAUAAUGAUCUGUUUAGUCAGGUAAAUGGAAAGCAUUACAGUCAAUCAUCCAAAAUAUCUUCAUCCAGAUUGAUAUCUGUUAUGUCAAUAUCUUCUAAUUCCAAAUUAUCCAAAUCUACUUCUAGUUCGAGUAAACUCUGCAAACAAAAGAGGGUAAUUAAGUUUUACAGUACUGUUAAAGGGAAGUUAUCUGUGGGUUCAUGAUCCAAAGUGAGAACUAAAAUUUUCUUAAUAGUCAAAAAAAACAUCAUCCCAUUUCAAAGCCGCUGCUCUGAAACUUGAUUCUGUCUCUUAAACCACAGAGGCCUAUGUAUUCUCCAAAUAUUGAUGGGGAGGAGGAUGGGGUA